GCUUAACACAUGCAAGUCGAACGAUGAACCAGGAGCUUGCUCUUGGGGAUUAGUGGCGAACGGGUGAGUAACACGUGAGUAACCUGCCCUUGACUCUGGGAUAAGCGUUGGAAACGACGUCUAAUACCGGAUACGAGCUUCCACCGCAUGGUGAGUUGCUGGAAAGAAUUUUGGUCAAGGAUGGACUCGCGGCCUAUCAGCUUGUUGGUGAGGUAACGGCUCACCAAGGCGACGACGGGUAGCCGGCCUGAGAGGGUGACCGGCCACACUGGGACUGAGACACGGCCCAGACUCCUACGGGAGGCAGCAGUGGGGAAUAUUGCACAAUGGGCGAAAGCCUGAUGCAGCAACGCCGCGUGAGGGACGACGGCCUUCGGGUUGUAAACCUCUUUUAGCAGGGAAGAAGCGAAAGUGACGGUACCUGCAGAAAAAGCACCGGCUAACUACGUGCCAGCAGCCGCGGUAAUACGUAGGGUGCAAGCGUUGUCCGGAAUUAUUGGGCGUAAAGAGCUCGUAGGCGGUUUGUCGCGUCUGCUGUGAAAUCCCGAGGCUCAACCUCGGGUCUGCAGUGGGUACGGGCAGACUAGAGUGCGGUAGGGGAGAUUGGAAUUCCUGGUGUAGCGGUGGAAUGCGCAGAUAUCAGGAGGAACACCGAUGGCGAAGGCAGAUCUCUGGGCCGCUACUGACGCUGAGGAGCGAAAGGGUGGGGAGCAAACAGGCUUAGAUACCCUGGUAGUCCACCCCCGUAAACGUUGGGC
rnacentral:rRNA from 1 species